AGACGUCUACAUUAGAUACCCCUGUAGUCCCAGCCGUAAACUGUGCGCGUUAGGUGUAUCGGUGACCACGAGUUACCGAGGUGCCGAAGGGAAACCGUGAAACGUGCCGCCUGGGAAGUACGGUCGCAAGGCUGAAACUUAAAGGAAUUGGCGGGGAGCACCACAACAGGUGGAGCCUGCGGUUUAAUUGGACUCAACGCCGGGAAGCUCACCGGAUAGGACAGCAGAAUGAUUGCCGGGCUGAAGACCCUGCAUGACUAGCUG
rnacentral:rRNA from 1 species